GAUGAACGCUGGCGGCGUGCCUAAUACAUGCAAGUCGAGCGAACAGACGAGGAGCUUGCUCCUCUGACGUUAGCGGCGGACGGGUGAGUAACACGUGGAUAACCUACCUAUCAGACUGGGAUAACUUCGGGAAACCGGAGCUAAUACCGGAUAAUAUCUUGAACCGCAUGGUUCAAUAGUGAAAGACGGUUUUGCUGUAACUUCUAGCUGGAUCCGCGCCGCAUUAGCUAGUUGGUAAGGUAACGGCUUACCACGGCAACGAUGCGUAACCGACGUGAGAGGGGGGUCGGCCGCACGGGAACGUGGACAGGGUCCAUGCGCCUACGGGAGGCAGCAGUCGGGAACCUGACGCAAUGGGCGGAAGCCUUACGGAGCAACGCCGCGUGAGUGAUGAAAGUCUUGGGAUCGUAAUACUCGGUUAUUAGGUAAAAACAAAUGUGUACGUAACUAUGCACGUCUUGACGGUACCUAAUCAGAAAGCCACGGCUAACUACGUG
rnacentral:rRNA from 1 species